GAUUAACGCUGGCGGCGUGCAUAACACAUGCAAGUCGAACGAUGAAACUUAGUAGACUUCUUCGGAAAGACACUAAGCGGAUUAGUGGCGAACGGGUGAGUAACGCGUGAGUAACCUGCCUUACACAAGGGGAUAGCCUUUGGAAACGAAGAAUAAUACCCUAUAAAACUAUAAAAGCACAUGCUAGAAUGGUCAAAGUGCUAGCGGUGUAAGAUGGACUUGCGUCUGAUUAGCUAGUUGGUGAGAUAAAAGCUCACCAAGGCAACGAUCAGUAGCCGGCUUGAGAGAGUGUACGGCCACAUUGGGACUGAGACACGGCCCAGACUCCUACGGGAGGCAGCAGUGGGGAAUGUUGCACAAUGGGGGAAACCCUGAUGCAGCGACGCCGCGUGAUUUAGAAGGCCUUCGGGUUGUAAAAAUCUUUUGUAUAGGAAGAAAAUGACAGUACUAUACGAAUAAGGUCCGGCUAAUUACGUG
rnacentral:rRNA from 1 species